rnacentral:lncRNA from 1 species
GUCUUCUGGCAUGGGGAAGAGAAGUUAAAUCAGGUUGAGUUAGCCAUAUACUGCGCCCCAUUUAACGGCUUGAGAAGAAAACCCUUCAACCUCUUUUCAAAUGGUUGGUGUGCAGGUUAGCCUGGCUGCUGUCCAUGGGCAUCUCCUGGCCAUCGGGGGCUACGACGGCAUCGUUCACGUUUCGACGGUGGAAGCCUUCGAUCUGGAUCUCAACGCAUGGAGAAGUUUUGGCAACAUGAAGAGGCGUCACCCAGGCGGAGGCGUCACUGUGAUCCAAAUGGCCACUGAAGAUGCAGAAUCCUUUGAGUCCCCUUGGAGCAGAUAACCAGAAGAUGAACAAGAACUAGUUCUAGAUUCCGAUUAGGUAGGGUGAGUUCUUUAGCUAGAUCUGAGCUUCAGCAGGAAGAAAGAGCUGUACAUCCAUACUUGAAACAAGAUUCUUUAUUUUAUUCAUUCACUUUUCUAUAGCCGUCCAUCUCAGUCCAGCUGAUUCUGGGCGGUGAACAAUUUCACAACCGUUAAUACACAAAAUUGAAAAAUCAAAGUGUGGAGAUCCUAUCAUUUGCUCCACUAUUUCUUUUCAGGGUUGGAAUCUCCUUGGAUCCUGACCUAAUGUUUUCACCAGUGCCUUUCCAGUUGCACCACCAACACUCAGAAAUGCUAAAUGGUGGAAUGAUCUUGGAAUUAACAGAAGCAGAAUACACCUGUUGAGUCCUAAUAUGUUCACACACCAUCAUAUUUGGGUUAAGAUACACUUAUGCACACCUCCAUAUUUCAUGAUUGAGCCAUGGUGGUGCAGUGGUUAGAAUGCAAGAUUGCAGGCUAACUCUGCUGACUGCCAGCAGUUCAAUCCUGACUGGCUCAAGGUUGACUCAGCCUUCCAUCCUUCUGAGGUUGGUAAAAUGAGGACCCAGAUUGUUGGGGGCAAGAGGCUGACUCUGUAAACUGCUUAGAGAGGGCUGGAAAGCGCUAUGGUAUAUAAAUCUAAGUGCUAUUACUAUCUAUCCCUCCAUCUAUCUAUCAUCCAUCCAUCCAUCCAUCCAUCCAUCCAUCCAUCCAUCUAUCUAUCUAUCUAUCUAUCUAUCUAUCUAUCUUAUCUAUCAUCUGCCAUGGUGGCUCAGUAGUUAGGAUGCAAUGUUGCAUAAUAAUUCUGCCAAUGCCAGCAGUUCGAUCCUCCUCGGCUCAAGGUUGAUUCAGCCUUCCCUCUUUCCAAGGCUGGUAAAAUAAGGAUCCAGAUUGUUGGGGGCAAGAGGCUGACUCUGUAAACCAUUUAAAGAGUUCUAUAAAGCAUUAUGAAACAGUAUAUAAGUCUAAGUGCUAUCACUAUUCUAAAAAAGGCUAAACAUUCUUCUUGUUUGUUUCUUUGUUUUAACCACAUCGCCUACUAUCCUGGUUUGUUGACUAAAAGUGCUUCUUGGCCCUAAGAGUUUGGCUGCAAUUACAUAAAUUGUCCUGCUUCAGAAAACCAUGUUAUUUCCAAGGGAAUGCUAAUCAAGGAGAGAAGCAACCUAGAAC